rfam:Ixodes scapularis strain Wikel colony gcontig_1107728995948, whole genome shotgun sequence.
UUCUGGUUAGCUUAGUUGGUACGGCGCUCCACUGGAAAUGGAGGGGUCUCUGGUUUGACACCAGGACCAGGCG